rnacentral:antisense_RNA from 1 species
GAACACAAAAUGGCGACACGUGGUUAGCAUUCGUCGCCAACGAGAAAUUGGGGUCGGCCCGAAAGCUCUAGAAUGCACCCCUAUUCCUCCCCGGGGCCAUUCCCGCUCAACGAGUUUUAUGACCUAAAAAACCCCACAGGCUGGUCUGAAGAGGAAGACACUUAAAGAUGAAGUGCUUAAUUCAAGGUCACAGAAUGUCGGGGAUGGACCUCCAGAUUUCCUUACUGAGACAGAGUCUUCUUGCUAUGUUGCCCAGGCUGGUCUUGAACUCCUAACCUCAAGCGAUCCUCCCAUCUUGGCCUCCCAGGUGUCAGGAUUACAGGCAUGUGCUAUCACACCCAACCUGAUACAUUGCCUUUAUAAAUUUUUUUUUCUUUAUUCUAAAAAACAGAAAAAACAAAACUGGAUACAUGUGCAGAACAUGCAGACCAAGUGUGUUGGGGACUUGAGAUAUGUACAUGAGUGUUUGUGAUGUUUCCUGGUGAAAGCACAGGUGAGACGUGGUCUUGUAACACAGUGGUUAAGAAUGUGACUUUGGAGCCAGCCUGCUAGGGGCUGAAUUCUGACUCAGCCAUUUAUUAACUGUGUG